rnacentral:lncRNA from 1 species
UGCAGACUUCCUUUUGCAGGUGCACGCUUUCCGACGAUCGGACGACGAGGCGAUUGGCCGCAACAGAAUAAAUCAAAAGCUUUUAUUCUUUUGGAAGAAAUAAGUAAAAAAACUUUACCAAUGCAUGCAUGAGCAUUUUUUUCCAUCCAUGAGUCAGAAAAACGUAGAUUGUUCCCAUGUGUUAGAGAAGAAGCAAGUAGGAGUGCCAAUUAUAGCCUACUCAAUGGAUAUCAAAUCUAAUUGAUAU